UACGUAGGGUGCAAGCGUUGCCCGGAUUUAUUGGGCGUAAAGGGCGCGUAGGCGGCUCUGCACGUUCGUUGUGAAAUCGCCCGGCUCAACUGGGCGGGGUCAGCGGAUACGGCAGAGCUUGAGCAAGCUAGGGGGCAAUGGAAUUCCCGGUGUAGUGGUGGAAUGCGUAGAUAUCUGGAGGAAUACCGGUGGCGAAGGCGGCAUCCUGGACCGACAUUGACGCUGAUGAGCGAAAGCUAGGGGAGCAAACGGG
rnacentral:rRNA from 1 species